rnacentral:rRNA from 1 species
GCACGGAGUUAGCCUGAGGCUUCUUCUUCGGGUACCGUCAUUAUCUUCCCCGACGAAAGAGCUUUACAACCCUAAGGCCUUCAUCACUCACGCGGCAUGGCUGGAUCAGGCUUGCGCCCAUUGUCCAAUAUUCCCCA